AAAAAAAAAAAAAAAAUGCCCAAGCUCCUUGUUACCAGUGCCUGUGGUGUAGAAAGGUUGAAUUACAUCGCCAAUAGGAAACAGGACCAGUGGCCUCAGUAUCCAGUCUGUCAUCUUCUCAGGCACCUCCUGUAUCUACAUAAUGCCCUGUGACUUGAAAGAAAAUUUCUAAAAUCUCUCAUAUCACCUUUCUAAUCAAGGCGAAGGACGAAGAAGCAAGAGCUGAAUUCUGAAGCUGAAAAAAAAAAAAAUUAGAGCAUACAUCACUUUGGAAAUGUGCUUGCUGACUCAGAGUGAUAUGGAGGCAAAAAUCCUACCUGAGCAGGAUAAUGGGAGACGUGACCGGUAAAGGUGAAAAGCUUAUGUGUCCAAUAAAACUCGGGAGGUAUGUGAGAGAGGGGAGUAAAUCAUCUGGCCUUUGAUGUGGAAAGAAACGGCAAUGAGCACCCUUAGAACGCGAGGCUCUUGAAGGCAGGAGCCAGAUGAUUCAUUUCUGCACCCUCACUGGCUGCAUGUAAGUGAUGGAAGAAUUAGUGGGUGAAUAAAUGACAGCGUGGAAGGAGGAAGGGCAGCAAGUCACGUGGUCAAAAUGCUACUAAGUAACAAGAUUGCGGGCCCGAGUGAUUAAAUUAGACCCACCUGGAUAAUCCCGGAAAACUUCCCUGUUUCUGAGGUCUGUAACCCCUAUUCAGCGGUUCCAGGGAUUAGGACAUGGGCAUUGCUGGGGGAUCGUUAUC